AUAAGAAAGAACCCGUAUGUUCUUCUUCUCUUUACCUUCCAAACUUCAAAUCAUCAUAACUCUUUCAUUUCUCGACGGAAUUGGACGAUUCUUGCGGCCACGGAACGAGGAGGAGGAGCUCUACUGAUCUAUACCUGUUAAUCAAGGUUCGACAAGGAAAACUAAUAGAGGACAUGGAGAACAGGGAGCUUACGCUAUUAAUAACGAGGAUUUUGGAUAAGCAAGCGUGUUUGCUUUCAGGUACCUAGACUCUGGACUUGGCUAGAAGUCCAUUCAUUGAUCGGAAGUAAAUCUUGUCUUUUGCAGUCCAGACUUCCGUAGUUGCUGCAGUAGUGUCUUGUCUGACCAGAGCUGUGGUCUAGUACAACAUUUAGAUACAACGUCGGUUCUCAUUUGUUGUCUUUGUAGUUAUAUAUGUUUUAUACACGGAAGGUGAAUACCCGUGAUGAUAUGGUUUUGAACAAUAGUAUGUAUCGGGCUAGUACGUACAUGAUACAGAAACAAUAAGCCCAAGUAUUUUGUGUCAAUAAGUUACUAGUGUAUAAAGAUGUGUAUAUGUAUAUGCUUCCG